CUAUCUGUAAUAAUUGUCCAGUUCUAGUGUAAGAGUUAAAAUUUAGGUUUUAUGCUAAAUAUGAUAGUUAUAAAGUAAUAGUGUGGUUGCCGAAUUUAAAAUAUUAUAACUUAAGUCAAAAUGAAUUUUUGCAGCUUUAUUUACAAAGAGGUGGAAAGAAUGAAAAUGGAAAAAUGUAUCUAAAGAGACAGAUUUUAACAAGCCUACCAGCCCUUCUCCAGUGAAGUGAGACUCAGUCCUGCCCACAUCCCUUGUCCCCACGUGGAUUUCCUGGUAAUUCUCAGCCAGAAGUCUCGGUGGUGUCUUCAGCCAGAGUUCCACUCACCCAGCAAGCUGAUGCAGAUCCACGGAAAAGGUCUCCUCCAAGCCAAGGCUUUCUGGGGCAUCAUGAUUUAAGGAAGACUUCAAGUAAAAGAAGGAAUUUUAAUUGGAACUUAAAGGAAGCCACGGAGGUCAAUAGCUGGAGUAUGAGAAGACCAUUUCAGUCAUGGGUCAGGCAGAGAAAAUGCCCAGAGAGAUGCAGUGUCUUGUCUGUGGAACAGCCAGGUAGCCAGUGCCAUUGGAUCAAAGAGUAUAUCAGGAGGGCAAAGUAUAAGAAGACUGGAGAGAUUCCAGUGAAGAUAAAACCACUACAAAAAAUCAGUGCUAUAUUUUCUAAAUCAGAAGAUGCCUAUGAGAGGGAACAGCCUUGAAGUAGCCCUGGAUUUGGAGUCAGAGGACUUAAAACAAAAGACUGUGAUGUAGUAGUGUGGAAGAGGCAUGCAAGCAAAAGACAAGAAGCUGGAAAUUGAUCAGCUGUCAAUCAAAGGAAAUUUCCAUUUGGAAUGUGACUGGAAAAGCAGUUUGGAGCCAAGCCAAUGGUGACUUCCACAGUAGGCAGUGGGAAGGGUACUGAACUGGAGGUUAGGAUAUCUAGGUUCUAGUAUGAGUUCUACCACUGAGCGGCUGUGUGGCUUUGUUCAAGGUACUUCCCUUCUGGGACAUCAGUCUUGUGACCCUGAACAUUAGGGGCUUGGAUUACAUAAUUUCUUAGGUGCCUUCUAGGUGUGCCAUUUUGAGCCUCCAGGUUUAAUUAAAGAACCUUUUCAACUACUUCUGUUAAGCCUUUAUAACUUCUGGAUUGCUGUUGUUGUUGACAAUAAUUAGCUCUUAAAAAUUAUUUGUAGAAAAGUUAUUAUUUCUUCCUCAAAACUGGGAAGGAGUUAGGGAGAAAAUGUUUGGUGUUCCAGGGAAUGGGGUGGAGGGAAUACAUGAGUAGAUAGUAAACAAAAUAUCCAAUGUCCACAAAAGAGCAGGACAAUAAGCAAAUUCAUUAAUUAAACUUUGUGAAUUCCUCCAUUCAUAAGGCUGACUAUUUGCUUAAUUUAGACUAUCUGCCUUAAUCAUCGGUUUUACCACAUGAAAAUAUUUGAAGAGUCA
rnacentral:lncRNA from 1 species